CCUACGGGAGGCAGCAGUGAGGAAUAUUGGUCAAUGGGCGGGAGCCUGAACCAGCCAAGUCGCGUGAAGGAAGAAGGUACUUAGUAUUGUAAACUUCUUUUGUCGGGGAACAAAGCCGGAGACGCGUCUCCUGAUGAGUGUACCCGAAGAAAAAGCAUCGGCUAACUCCGUGCCAGCAGCCGCGGUAAUACUGAGGAUGCGAGCGUUAUCCGGAUUUAUUGGGUUUAAAGGGUGCGCAGGGGGGAGAUCAAGUCAGCGGUAAAAUGUUGGGGAUCAACCCCGGCCGGCCGUUGAAACUGGUUGUCUAGAGUUGGAGAGAAGUAUGCGGAAUUCGUGGUGUAGCGGUGAAAUGCAUAGAUAUCACGAAGAACUCCGAUUGCGAAGGCAGCAUACCGGCUCCAUACUGACGCUGAGGCACGAAAGCGUGGGGAUCGAACAGGAUUAGAUACCCCAGUAGUC
rnacentral:rRNA from 1 species